UGUUUGAUAAUUAGUGCAUUCCGUUGAAUUGAGUCCAAUCCUUGUAAAACACGACCAAACAUGACAGAUUCAAUGUUCAAAGGAAAGCCGCGAUCCUUCAUGUAAUCACCUAGGUCCCGAUCUCCCUCAAAUUUCCAGACAAGCCAUUUCUCACCCUUAGUAUAUUGUGAGUUAGUUUUUUCAGCAACAAAACUACCAAGAAAGUCUGCACAUGUCUCAGGAGCUGCUCUUGAUAGCCUAUAAUUGAACCAUUCUUCAAAUUCACCACAUUCUGCAGCACCUUGAACACCAAUCUUUACCUGUUUAAGAAUGACCUUUUCCUUGAA
rnacentral:misc_RNA from 1 species